UGAGUAACCUGCCCUUAACUCUGGGAUAAGCCUGGGAAACUGGGUCUAAUACCGGAUAUGACUCCUCAUCGCAUGGUGGGGGGUGGAAAGCUUUAUUGUGGUUUUGGAUGGACUCGCGGCCUAUCAGCUAGUUGGUGUGGGUAACGGCCCACCAAGGCGACGACGGGUAGCCGGCCUGAGAGGGUGACCGGCCACACUGGGACUGAGACACGGCCCAGACUCCUACGGGAGGCAG
rnacentral:rRNA from 1 species